AUUGAACGCUGGCGGCAGGCCUAACACAUGCAAGUCGAACGAGUGGCGGACGGGUGAGUAAUGUCUGGGAAACUGCCUGAUGGAGGGGGAUAACUACUGGAAACGGUAGCUAAUACCGCAUACCAUCGGAUGUGCCCAGAUGGGAUUAGCUAGUAGGUGGGGUAAAGGCUAACCUAGGCGACGAUCCCUAGCUGGUCUGAGAGGAUGACAAGCCACACUGGAACUGAGACACGGGCCAGACUCGUACGUGAGGCAGCAGUGGGGAAUAUUGCACAAUGGGCGCAAGCCUGAUGCAGCCAUGCCGCGUGGAUGAAGAAGGCCUUCGGGUUGUAAAGUACUUUAAGCGGGGAGGCGUUACGCGGAGAAGAAGCACCGGCUAACUCCGUGCCAGCCGCCGCGGUAAUUG
rnacentral:rRNA from 1 species